rnacentral:rRNA from 1 species
AUACGGGGGGGGCAAGCGUUAUUCGGAAUUACUGGGUGUAAAGGGCGCGUAGGCGGCAGAAUUGGUCAGGUGUGAAAUCCCUAGGCUUACCUUAGGAACUGCGCUUGAUACCAUUCGGCUUGAGUACAGGAGAGGUGGGCGGAAUUCCAGGUGUAGCGGUGAAAUGCGUGGAUAUCUGGAAGAACACCGGUGGCGAAGGCGGCUCACUGGAAUGUCACUGACGCUGAAGCGCGAAAGCGUGGGGAGCGAACGGGAUUAGAUACCCCGGUAGUCCACGCUGUAAACGUUGGGUACUUGGUGUUGGGGGUUUGAGUCCCUCAGUGCCGGAGCUAACGCGUUAAGUACCCCACCUGGGGAGUACGGUCGCAAGGCUGAA